GAAAGAACUAACAAACGAAGGCAAAUAAAUGUGAUACUCACGUAAUAUUCUCCCCUCCAAAUUUACAUCUCGUCUUCACCAAAAAGCCACCACCGCAGCAUCACACAUCACAACAGACGAAAUCCCUAAGGUUUCAAUGGCUGUUGAUACUCAGGCUGUUAAUGGAGAUGCUGCCUAAUGAGGAGAUGGUGAAAGGUGUGCUUGAAGCUGUUGCUGUCUGUGGUUGUGGUGCCACAAUUCAAUGUGUUGUUUGUUAAUUUGUCUGUCAUGUCAAAUCUCCUGUUUCCAAUCUCACCCAUGCAGUAAGAUUAAGGCGACCUGAUCUUACAUGAUAUAGGAGUGAUUCCAUCGACAACUGCUAGAUCAACAAAUUUUUCUGCGUCAAAAAAAUAAUGACGCUGUUAUUAUCGAGGUUGAGAAAACAUGCCACCUAAUAAAAUUACGGAUGUUGUUUCAUUUAA